AUUACAUCAAUGAUAUGUUUGAUUGCUUGGUUUGGACAUACCGAUUCUAGAGCAGUGUCAAUAUAUAGUGCAGAGGUAGGGGAUACUGUUAAACUAUCUUGUCCAGGGAGGUCCAAAAAUUCUGUAACAUGGUACGGUCCUCCAAACUAUAUGCCCUAUAGAAUAGACGGAAAAAUAAACCCUACACUAAUCGACAAAAAUAUCGCAAUGGUUGGGAAUCAUAGUAACGGAGAAUAUAACUUAGAAAUUAUCAAGGUGUCGUUCUCAAACAAAGGAAAUUACAGAUGUAGAUUAUUAAACAGUAGACCAGUCGAAUAUGAGAUAUUGCUAAUAGUUAAAGAUAAACCAACAGUUGUUAAAGAAAUAACAGAAAAACAUACAUCAUAUGAUAACCAUGAAGAAACAACAACUCCUAACAAUUUAGCUCUCAGCUCUUGGC